UACGUAGGGUGCGAGCGUUUGUCCGGAAUUAUUGGGCGUAAAGAGCUCGUAGGCGGUUUGUCGCGUCGACUGUGAAAACCUACAGCUUAACUGUGGGCUUGCAGUCGAUACGGGCAGACUUGAGUUCGGUAGGGGAGACUGGAAUUCCUGGUGUAGCGGUGAAAUGCGCAGAUAUCAGGAGGAACACCGGUGGCGAAGGCAGGUCUCUGGGCAUUAACUGACGCUGAGGAGCGAAAGCAUGGGGAGCGAACAGG
rnacentral:rRNA from 1 species